rnacentral:rRNA from 1 species
UACGUAGGUGGCAAGCGUUGUCCGGAUUUACUGGGCGUAAAGAGCGCGCAGGCGGUCGUUCAAGUCGCGUGUGAAAGCCCCCGGCUCAACUGGGGAGGGUCACGCGAUACUGAUUGACUCGAAGGCAGGAGAGGGAAGUGGAAUUCCCGGUGUAGUGGUGAAAUGCGUAGAUAUCGGGAGGAACACCAGUGGCGAAGGCGACUUCCUGGCCUGUUCUUGACGCUGAGGCGCGAAAGCUAGGGGAGCAAACGGG